GCCAGAUCGCCAGCAAGAAGCCAGGUGCCACCAUUCCUUCCUCCGUCCUUAGCUCGCCACCCUCCCAGCAGGGUGUCUGGGCACAGGGGAUGGCCAGGGCGAGUCCACUAAGUAGGGGAACAGGAAGCCCUGGACCUGAAGUCCAUGGCAGACCGGGCUCGGAGCUUGGCUAAAGGAGGAGGGGAGGACUCAGGCCCCCAACUACCACUGCAGCCUCCCCUGGGGUGGGGCGCCUGGGGCUGGGCUGACCGCCACCUAGGUGGCCUGAGGUCAUAGGGGGCCUGAUUCCUGGACUCAUCUGGAGAGGAGUUAGAAGAGAUGCUGAAAUGGCAUGUGUGUGUCCAGGGGCCCCAAGACCAAGAGAGACUGGGCCCACACUUCCUCUGUCCAGCAUAGAAGUGAACACACCACUCACUCGGUCCUGGCCCCGGCAGCAUUCCGACGGACUUGCUCUUGGCCCCACAUCCUGGAACCCACUCCAGGGACUUUAAAAAAUAGAUGUGGAUGUCCGGGUGAGGCCUUG
rnacentral:lncRNA from 10 species